rnacentral:rRNA from 1 species
AACGCGAAGAACCUUACCUGGGCUCGAAAUGUAGUGGAUCGAGGUAGAAAUAUCUCUUUCUCGCAAGAGACUGCUAUAUAGGUGCUGCAUGGCUGUCGUCAGCUCGUGUCGUGAGAUGUUGGGUUAAGUCCCGCAACGAGCGCAACCCUUAUCUUUAGUUGCCAUCAGGUCAAGCUGGGCACUCUAACGAAACCGCCCCGGAUAACGGGGAGGAAGGUGGGGAUGAUGUCAAGUCAUCAUGGCCCUUAUGUCCAGGGCUACAAGCGUGCUACAAUGGACUACACAAAGGGUUGCAAACUCGUGAGAGCCAGCUAAUCCCAAAAAGUAGUCCUCAGUUCGGAUCGGAGUCUGCAACUCGACUCCGUGAAGUUGGAAUCGCUAGUAAUCGCGGAUCAGAACGCCGCGGUGAAUACGUUCCCGGGCCUUGUACACACCGUAGAGAC